rnacentral:rRNA from 1 species
CGGGGGGAGCAAGCGUUGUUCGGAUUUACUGGGCGUAAAGGGCGCGUAGGCGGCGUCUGCAAGUCGACUGUGAAAUCUCCGGGCUUAACCCGGAAAGGUCAGCCGAUACUGCAGGGCUAGAGUGCAGAAGGGGCAACUGGAAUUCUCGGUGUAGCGGUGAAAUGCGUAGAUAUCGAGAGGAACACCUGCGGCGAAGGUGGGUUGCUGGGCUGACACUGACGCUGAGGCGCGAAAGCUAGGGGAGCGAACGGGAUUAGAUACCCAGGUAGUCCUAGCCUUAAACGAUGAAUGCUUGGUGUCUGGGGUUUUAUAGUCCCCGGGUGCCGUCGCUAACGCUUUAAGCAUUCCGCCUGGGGAGUACGGUCGCAAGACUG